GAUGAACGCUGGCGGCGUGCUUAACACAUGCAAGUCAAGGGGGCCCAGCAAUGGGUAACCGGCGAACGGGUGCGUAACACGUGAGCAACCUACCGAAUUGUGGGGGAUAGCCGGCCCAACGGCCGGGUAAUACCGCAUACGAUCGAGACCAGGCAUUUGGACUCGAUGAAAUCUACGGAGCAAUUCGAGGGGCUCGCGGCCUAUCAGCUAGUUGGUGAGGUAACGGCUCACCAAGGCGACGACGGGUAGCUGGUCUGAGAGGAUGGCCAGCCACAUUGGGACUGAGAUACGGCCCAGACUCCUACGGGAGGCAGCAGUGGGGAAUCUUGCGCAAUGGCCUAACGGCUGACGCAGCGACGCCGCGUGAGGGAUGACGCUCUUCGGAGUGUAAACCUCUG
rnacentral:rRNA from 1 species